rnacentral:rRNA from 1 species
GUCCAUGCCGUAAACGUUGGGCGCUAGAUGUAGGGACCUUUCCACGGUUUCUGUGUCGUAGCUAACGCAUUAAGCGCCCCGCCUGGGGAGUACGGCCGCAAGGCUAAAACUCAAAGGAAUUGACGGGGGCCCGCACAAGCGGCGGAGCAUGCGGAUUAAUUCGAUGCAACGCGAAGAACCUUACCAAGGCUUGACAUACACCGGAAACGGCCAGAGAUGGUCGCCCCCUUGUGGUCGGUGUACAGGUGGUGCAUGGUUGUCGU